rnacentral:rRNA from 1 species
CGAGGAGCUUGGUCCUCUGGCGUGAGCGGGGGACGGGUGAGUAACACGUGGAUAACCUACCUAUGNGAGGGGGAUNACCUCGGGAAACCGGAGCUAAAACCCGAUAACAAGUUGAAGCAGAGGGUGCGGCUCUGAAAGACCUCCUUGNUGUCACUUAUAGAUGGAUCCGCUCCGUAGUGGGUGGUUGGUAAGGUAACGGCUUACCCNGGCAAUGAUGCGUAUCCGACCUGAAAGGGUGAUCGGCCGACCGGGAACUGAGACACAGUCCAGACUCCUACGGGAGGCAGCAAUAGGGAAUCUUCCGCAAUGGGCGAAAGCCUGACGGAGCAACGCCGCGUGAGUGAAGAAGGUCUUCGGAUCGUAAAACUCUGUUAUUAGGGAAGAACAAAUGUGUAAGUAACUAUGCGCGUCUUGACGGUACCUAAUCACAAAGCCACGGCUAACUACCUGCCAGCAGCCGCGGUAAUACGUAGGUGGCAAGCGUUAUCCGGAUUUAUUGGGCGUAAAGCGCGCGUAGGCGGUUUUUUAAGUCUGAUGUGAAAGCCCACGGCUCAACCGUGGAGGGUCAUUGGAAACUGGAAAACUUGAGUGCAGAAGAGGAAAGUGGAAUUCCAUGUGUAGCGGUGAAAUGCGCAGAGAUAUGGAGGAACACCAGUGGCGAAGGCGACUUUCUGGUCUGUAACUGACGCUGAUGUGCGAAAGCGUGGGGAUCAAACANGAUUAUAUACCCUGGUAGUCCACGCCGUAAACGAUGAGUGCUAAGUGUUAGGGGGUUUCCGCCCCUUAGUGAGGCAGCUAACGCAUUAAGCACUCCGCCUGGGGAGUACGACCGCAAGGUUGAAACUCAAAGGAAUUGACGGGGGCCCGCACAAGCGGUGGAGCAUGUGGUUUAAUUCGAAGCAACGCGAAGAACCUUCCCAAAUCUUGACAUCCUCUGAACCCUCUAGAGAUAGAGUUUUCCCCUUCGGGGGACAGAGUGACAGGUGGUGCAUGGUUGUCGUCAGCUCGUGUCGUGAGAUGUUGGGUUAAGUCCCGCACCGAGCGCAACCCUUAAGCUUAGUUGCCAUCAUUAAGUUGGGCACUCUAAGGUGACUGCCGGUGACAAACCGGAGGAAGGUGGGGAUGACGUCAAGUCAUCAUGCCCCUUAUGGUUUGGGCUACACACGUGCUACAAUGGUCAAUACAAAGGGUAGCCAAACCGCGAGGUCAAGCAAAUCCCAUAAAGUUGUUCUCAGUUCGGAUUGUAGUCUGCAACUCGACUACAUGAAGCUGGAAUCGCUAGUAAUCG